GCCAGAAUGCUUAAGAUGUCACAAGAAACUAACAUGCCCUGGCCUGAGAGUCUCCCAUUAGCGCUGUUUAGUGUCAGAUACACUCCCAGGGGAAAAUACAGCCUGUCACCUUAUGAGAUUUUGUUUGGUACAGCACCCAGGUUAGGUUGCUACUUUCCCCAACAGCUUCAGAUUCAGUCAGACGCUAUGGUAGAUUAUGUGACAGCCCUCUCACAUGCCUUGACCAAGAUACAUG